GUGAGUAGUACUGAUCUGAAAGUUGUUCGUCUAAGAAACAAAGGAAACCUUUUUAAAAUGUUCCAAUCCUAUUUAUUCUGACUUGCUCGAUAAGCCAUCAGUUUUUUUUUGCAACACGUUCAGCACUUGAACAUUGACAAUUUUUAUGAUAUUGAUAUGUUAAGCACAUGAAGCAUGCAUUAUAUUCUUUGUAUUUUGAAAACUUCACAACCACGUAGCAUUGGGUGGGGGGGGGGGGGGUGGGCUCUCAGUCAUCUUUUUUAAAAUUUACAUAUAAAAAAUUGAAUAAACGAAUGAUCAUGCAGUUACCCCUCUCCCCCCCCCCCCCCCUCUUUUUGGGGGACCAAAUAAAAGUUUGAAGUGAAAAUAAGGAAAUGGACAGGGAAAUUGAAGUUAUAGGUAUACCCCCCCCCCCCCAAUUAAGAUUUUCGUGAUUUUUAUUUUUUUCUGCUUGUCAAGAUUUUUUUUGGAUGAGUCUGCCCCUUUUCAAAAACGUUGUUACUUCCCUGAACUUGGACAUUGGUCCUAGGAGGGACAUCCGUUAUACACACGGCGCGCAAAAUGUGUGAUAAUUUUUUUUAUUCUAACAUUUAAAAAAAAAAGUUAUCUUUUUAAUGUAUCUGUUUUGUUGUAUCGUAUAAAUUGACGAGAAAUACAAUGCCAAUGCAUUUCUGAUAUCUACAUGUACUGUUUAUUUAAAACGCUGUUUACAUUUUGUUGAAUGUUUAUAUAAAAUUUAGUUCUUAU
rnacentral:sRNA from 1 species